AGGAGCUUAAGUUAAUAAGACUGUAGGCCUUCAAAGCCUAAAGCGAGGUCAAUACCACCUCAGCUUCUG
rnacentral:tRNA from 1 species